rnacentral:tRNA from 1 species
CAAGAAAUAGUUUUAAAUUAAAAUAUUAAUUUUGGAAAUUAAAGAUAAAUUAGAUAAUUUUUUCUUGA